rnacentral:rRNA from 1 species
UACGUAGGGUGCGAGCGUUGUCCGGAAUUAUUGGGCGUAGAGAGCUCGUAGGCGGUGUGUCACGUCGGCCGUGAAAACCUGCAGCUUAACUGUGGCGUGCGGUCGAUACGGGCAUCACUGGAGUUCGGCAGGGGAGACUGGAAUUCCUGGUGUAGCGGUGAAAUGCGCAGAUAUCAGGAGGAACACCGAUGGCGAAGGCAGGUCUCUGGGCCACUACUGACGCUGAGAAGCGAAAGCAUGGGGAGCGAACAGG